GCAGCCGCCGGGGAAUACGUAGGGUGCGAGCGUUGUCCGGAAUUAUUGGGCGUAAAGAGCUUGUAGGCGGUCUGUCGCGUCUGCUGUGAAAACCCGAGGCUCAACCUCGGGCCUGCAGUGGGUACGGGCAGACUAGAGUGCGGUAGGGGAGAACGGAACUCCUGGUGUAGCGGUGGAAUGCGCAGAUAUCAGGAAGAACACCGAUGGCGAAGGCAGUUCUCUGGGCCGUAACUGACGCUGAGAAGCGAAAGCGUGGGGAGCGAACAGGAUUAGAUACCCGCGUAGUCCCUGUCUCUUAUACA
rnacentral:rRNA from 1 species